AGACAAAGCGAUAAGGUUCCAUAUCCCUUGUCUCUCUCGCGUCGUUCCCCACGGAAGCAACCGCCGCUGCCGCUAUGGCUCGCUGCCGGCCAUGCCGCCGCUGGGGAGGUUCCUCGCCGGUGGAGGAGACCACCGCAUGUACGUAGAGUACGCGGGCGCCGGUUCCGCGCUCCGGCCGUGGCGAGCCGGCGGAGGUCGGGGAAGAUGCUGCGGGCAAGGCCAAGACGCCACGCUGGACGGAUCAGUGGCUCGAAGCACCAGUUGUGCGUGGCGAGGCCAAGGCCAAGCCGCAUCAGUAGGGGAGCAAGCGUGUAGCAUGUCCCCGUCGUGCAUCAAGGCUGCAGCAUAAGCCGUGCGCAGCGAAAGGGCGUCCCGUGGCCAAGCAAAGGGCCGAUAGCUGUGGCCGUGGCCGCGCCCGCGCCGCAAAGAGCACUGUCGGUCCUUGGGCCGCCGCGUGCUCUCCGCGUAGGGAGCCGCGACAGUGGGCGCCGCCGUCGAGGUCCACAGAGCGGCAUGCGCCAGUGCGACCCGAGAGUCACCUCUGCUCGCGCUCGAGCGUUGGGCCACGCCGGAGCCGAGGGCUGUGGCCCGAGAACGCCGCUGCACGCGCGGGCUGCUCCGUAUAACAUCGCCUUGUCGAGUCGAAUUGGAAUUCACGAGAAGAUAGGCCGAGGGCUGUGCCUGAUGGAUGCAACGGCCGCAUCAUUCUGCGCAAGAUGAUGCAUGUCAAAAGCCGUGAGAGGCCGGUGGACAGAUCUGUAGGGCUGCGUUCCCGAUCUGGUUGGCAUCGCUGCCGCUGCAGAGAUGUUGCCGUCCGCGCCGGCCACCGGGCGAGUCGCUCAGCAAAGAGCGUGCUGAUAACGUGUUCGAGGUAAUUGCAAGAGGCAAAUGACAAGUAGUAGAAUAGUUGUUCUCAUUGAUGAUGGGAUUACACAUAUAUAUAUAUAGCCCUCGAAGGGGUACGUCCGAAGGGACACGAGACAACCGCCUCAAUUAGGAAAAGCAGAGAUUAAUAGGAUUAAUUAAAUCGUAACACUUCCCCUAAUCUAUGCUUUUUAGCAACAUAUCAAACACCUAUCUCCUCAUAUUUUUUCCACAGGGUUUUUGGAGGAGCUUCUUAAGAUGAUGAUACUUACGUUAACAAGCAUGAAUUAAGGGGAGUGUUAGGAUUUAAUUAAUUUUAUUAAUCCUUGCUUUUCCUAAUUGAGGCGGUUGUCUCGUGUCCCUUCGGACGUACCCCUUUGAGGGCUAUAUAUAUGUGUAAUCCUAUCAUCAAUGAGAACAACUAUUUUACUACUUGUCAUUUGCCUCUUGCAAUUACUUCGAACAAGAUUGAUGGGAGACACGUACUCCUGUUAACCCCUUCCGUGAGAUUUUGUCCGUAACUCUAGGAUUUUCAAAAAUAAAUCGACGACUCUCCGUAACAUGUGUACGCCACGUCGAUAUAGCUCUCGCAUGGCGUUGGGAAGUCAUGCGUGCCCGCCGUCGCCUGGCUGUUGACUGGGCCGACUCAGAAUUGGGCUGUUGGGCAGUGGCCCAAGCCUCUCAAUUCUCGGUUAGGUGGUUUAUAAAUCUGCCAACAUUUUUUGGAAAAGUGCAAACAAUUUUUCAUAAUUUAGAUUUUUUCGGAAACACUAGCAUUUUAAAAAUUCGUAUUUUCUUUUGGAAAUGUGAAUAGUUAAUCAAAAAUCGAACAUUUUUUAAAAAUGUGUUUUUUUGAAAAUGUGACAAUUUUUCACAAUGCCGAACAUUUUCUCAAAGCAUGAAUUUUGUAAAAAAAUUGAACAUUUUUUAGGACACAAUUUUUUUCAUGACUUUUCAGUAACAUUUUUGAAAAUUCUGAACAAAUUUUAGAUAUUUUGAAAAUGACAAAGAAAGAGAAACUAUCCAAAAUAUGAUAAAGAAAACCCUGACCUGGAACCUUCUAGAAGGUUCCCAAAACUGGGUUCGGUUGAAUGAACAACGUCUUACAUGGGCCAGCCUAUUCCAUCUUACCUUUGUUCGCUCGACUCCUAUGCGAGACAAUGACUACUUGAAGCAAUAAGUGUCCAUAGGGUCUUUCGCAACACCGCCGCUACUACGAUGAGUCGAUGAUGGUCACCGCGAAGAUCAAAGCUAUGUUUGGGCUUUUGCAGUUGCCACCAACUUGAAUAGUGUAAUGCCGCGAGAGUAGUUCUUUGUUCUCCGCUUUGCGGCUAUUUAUCUAAAACCUCUUCCUUAAUCAAUGAAAAUGGAAAAAAAAAUGCCUUGUUUCAAAAGAAAAAGAAAAGACAGCGUCCUUAGGGUUUUCCUAGACGGAUAACGUGUCCCACCCAGCAUGUCCGGUUUUGGACCAUGGUUGUCAUUUUCAUUGAUCUUUGGUUCCCAACCUCA